CAAAGGACUUAAACAUAAUUUGAGCACCUAAGGCGAAAUCUUUAGGUGAAUGGGGUCAAAUUCGGUGAAACUUUUAAAAUGGCAACGCCGAGCUAAGCUUAACUUAGUCAGUAAGUAUUUCCCCCUCCCCCUGACUGAGUUUUGAAAGUGUAGAGACCAUACGGCUCCUACCUGACUAAAUCCCCCCAAAAGGAUUUAAAGGUAAAGAAAUGGUCCAGACCACAAACACAUUAUUAA
rnacentral:ncRNA from 1 species